CCUACGGGGGGCAGCAGUGAGGAAUAUUGGUCAAUGGGCGGGAGCCUGAACCAGCCAAGUCGCGUGAGGGAAGACGGUCCUACGGAUUGUAAACCUCUUUUGCCGGGGAGCAACGGGGUCCUUGCGAGGGCCCAAUGAGAGUACCCGGAGAAAAAGCAUCGGCUAACUCCGUGCCAGCAGCCGCGGUAAUACGGAGGAUGCGAGCGUUAUCCGGAUUUACUGGGUGUAAAGGGAGCGUAGGCGGUUUAGCAAGUCAGAAGUGAAAGCCCGGGGCUCAACUCCGGGACUGCUUUUGAAACUGUUGAACUAGAUUGCAGGAGAGGUAAGUGGAAUUCCUAGUGUAGCGGUGAAAUGCGUAGAUAUUAGGAAGAACACCAGUGGCGAAGGCGGCUUACUGGACUGUAAAUGACGCUGAGGCUCGAAAGCGUGGGGAGCAAACAGGAUUAGAUACCCGUGUAGUC
rnacentral:rRNA from 1 species